CCCCGGCGAAAUGGGGUCUGGUGUACGGCCUCUGAUGUCGCUGUGUGCCGCGUAGCCAGAAAUCGGCUAUCUAAAGAUCGGAUUUAGUUUCUUAAACGCUUCACUAAAGACGAAACUGGUAUGCACGCAAUGCAAUCUUAUCUCAAUAGCUUCUCUUGUUUCGUAGAGAACAACUGGAAGACUACAGCUAGAGUCAUUGCUGUUUGUGAAAUCUGCAUGUCUACGGCAGCGAUUAAACGCGGCCGCGGGGACGUUGACGUCGACAGGCUUCGAUUUCAUGCAGCCAUGAUCGACGUCGUACGAUCUAGCGUUGUGCGCUCGUGUCACAAUGGAGACUGAAUGCGAACGUACUGGAUGGAUGCGAACGUACUCGGUGCUGUUUGCUGUUUUUUGACGUCUAAAGCGACCGCAUACAGUCCGGAGUGAGCGAUAUCUGGAAGGGCUUGGAGUUGCAUGACGUCAUCGAAACAAGAUGAGUCGUCUUUCUGUGUUUGGGUAAUCAUUUGAUGUGUUUUGUACAUUGUUUUGGUGAACAGAUACAGUAGCAACCAGGAAGAGACUACGUUGACAGAAAUCCUGGAUGUCCCAAGGUGGUACAGAUUCGACGUGUUGUUUAGAAGAGCUAGAUAUUACGCGUGUUUCUGCAGCGUAACUUCCAGAGUAUGUGGAGCUUCAGGGAGACUACUUCCAUCCAACUGUUUUCUCUUGCUCAACAAGGUGAUAGCAUCUGGUGGUUUCAUGAAACACAGCAGUGUGUCUAACUAUAUAUAGAUGCAAGCUUAGGACGGGCGAGCAAGUAGACAGCAGCUUUUCGAUUAAUUACUAUAUUGCGUUAGUUAAUUGUUAGAUAUACUGGUUUGACAUGUCGUCGUGCUUUUUGUGCUCUACACCAAAUGAUACUACUACCUUGUGGACCAAGAGAAAACGGUUGGAUGGACGCAGUCUCACUGAUGCUCGACAUACUUUAGAAGUUAUGCUUCAAGAACACUCGGGCCUUCCACUGUCUUCGUACGUGCCACCAGCUGGUCCAGCUUAUGUGUGUCACUACUGUCAAAACGAUUUGAAGAAACUAAGUGAACUUCAUCUGCUGAAGAUAAAACAACAUUUGGCACACUUGCCUGUCUAUGUAUGUGGUACAGCUUUAAAGAGGCAACGACUUGAAGUACCUGGGGAUAAAGAUGGAGAUGAAAUGACAGGUAGCCAACCAGAAAUGCUUCAACAGAGGAUCCAAAAAGUGUCUCCAAAAGUAAAGGUGGUUGUAAAAUACAAGUCUGGAAUGAGAGCAUACAACCUUGCUUCUCCAAGAAGAAAGCAGGCAGUAAAGAGAUGUGUUCGCGGGAAUUUGUUCUCGGUGAAUUUUGCCACGACUUCUGCAGAAGCAUUCAACACAGCCAUUACGUCACUAAAGAAGAAAACUGCUAAGAAAUUAAUCAGAUUAAGAAACUCAGCAAGAGAAGUGUAUUCAUGGACAGUGAAGCUCUUUUGCACUUUUUGUGGGAUAGAAUUUGGUUGGAGCUGAAAAAAUAUACUCCCACAUUGUUGCAUGUGAUUAGCAUCUUAGUGUCCGAAAGUGCUGAGAGGUGCAAGCCCCUUGUUUGCUUCAUUGCAUCAAUGGCCUUGAAACAGCGGUACCAGCAGUUUUCUAUAGUUCAACGUGUCAUCUCUCUUUUGUUGUAUGACAAUGGAACUGCUAAGCAAGUGUUUUCUUGUUUGCAACCCCUAAUGGUCUGCAUAUCACACAAAGGUACUUUUAAAAUGUUGGAUAGAAUCAGUGACAACUUUGAUUCCGAAGUGAAAUCAUGGUCAGAAAACUUAAAGCAUCACUUUCCAACAGAAAUGAGGAUCAUUGGUGUGGCCAAGUCAAGUGAAUUAGCCCAGUCUUCUUCGUCUAGCAACCAGUCAGAAUACAGAUUAGACACUGACAAUCAAACAGACCACUGUACAGAAAACCAGACAGUUGACAAGACUGUCUCUACAGACUCUGAAUUAAAAAAUUGAAAUUUUGGAGAGUGAUGGGCAUUCUUCAAGAAAGUCUACAUCCGACCUGGAUUCACCCUCUAGUCAAAUAAGUGACAUUGAUGUGGAAAAUUGUUUACUUGAAGAUGACACUGGAAGGCUAUAUGGAAGCGCUUAUAUUGGGACGAUUCUAGCAGAGACAGAGGCACUUUACACCAUCUAAAACAUGUGCUAAAUAGGACCAGCGUGCAUAAAGAUCCUGGUAAAGACCUCAGGGCUGCUGAGGACUUUUUUACCCUUGUAUGGGAAGGUGUCAGCAGCACAGUCUGUAAAAUCAACACAAGGGGAAGAAGAGACCUUAGCACCCUUAUGCAGAAAAGUCAUGGAUUCUUUUGUGUUGCUGUCAUCCUUACUAGCACAGAUGGAACAUUCUACUGCUUUCGAUGCAGUCCAUGUUUAUGCACUUGACAUCCUGAAUCUUGGCCUCACCUACAAGGGUUUUCAUGAUGCAGUCAAAGAGGGGGAUGGUGAUAGAGUGAUACGAUACUGGAAAGUGCUCAUGGUGCUAUUUAAAGAAACCGGUAAACGAAAUUAUAGCAAGGAGGCAUUUCUGCUAAUCCUCCAGCUUCACUCGUUAUCUGAAAGAGCAGCCACAGAAGUAAAAUGGAGCUGGUUUGUAAAUAGAAGAGGCCAAAUUGGAUGCAACAUACCUUGCGAUUUGGCGAUGGAACACCUAAACAGACGGCUGAAGGGUAUCAUCUGUAUUAUGGGAGCUAAUGUUGUCC